rnacentral:tRNA from 1 species
GCAGUGGUGCUUCCGUGGUAGAAUUCUCACCUUCCAUGUGGGAGGCCCAGGUUUGAUUCCUAGUCAAUGCA